ensembl:snoRNA small nucleolar RNA SNORA65
CCCGCCACUAUGCCUGUCUGUCAGAGUGACUGAGUAUGAUCCAGUGGGGGCUCAGAUUAACCCGGCUUUAGGAAACAGAGCUGUCCAAACAAAAGGGCAGCUCUGUGCCGAAAAGUCUGGAACACUU